rnacentral:misc_RNA from 1 species
GAUGAAGAACGUAGCGAAAUGCGAUACGUAAUGUGAAUUGCAGAAUUCAGUGAAUCAUCGAAUCUUUGAACGCUUAUUGCGCUCUCUGGUAUUCCGGAGAGCAUGCUUGUUUGAGUAUCAGUAAACACCUCAACUCCCUUUUCUUUUUUGAAAUGGGAGCUGGACUUGAGUGAUCCCAACACUUUUCUCACUGGAAAGUGGCGGGGCACUUGAAAUGCAGGUGCAGCUGGACUUUUCUCUGAGCUAUAAGCAUAUCUAUUUAGUCUGCCUAAAAAACAGAUUAUUACCUUUGCUGCAGCUAACAUAAAGGAGAUGAGUUCUUGUGCUGACUGAUGCAGGAUUCACAGAGACAGCUUUGCGGCUGACUUUGUAAACUCGAUCUCAAAUCAAGUAAGACUACCCGCUGAACUUAAGCAUAUCAAUAAGCGGAGGA